CUUCCUCCUUCUACCUACCCACAAUCUGUUGCUCGUUGCCUGCUGUUUCCUAGCAGCCUUUCUCAAAGCAGAGCUUUUUAUGAGAAGUUGAACUGUGUGAGACUGGCAGACACGGGGAACGGGACUGGCUCUAGUAGAGUCCUGUUUCACUGUGGGUCCCUCCAAGAUUAGACACUGAUAUGGGAAAAAGGCAUGCAAAAGGAUAAAAGAAAGAAGAAAGGAGUACAAAGACUACAGAUGACAACAUUUUAAAAAGACUUCAUAAAGGCACAAGAUGGGCUCACAAGCAUGAAGAGGUAACAACCUCAGUGAUCUCACACCCCAGGAUCCUGAUGUAAGUAAAGAAGGCAGACUGGCUGCCUUAGCUGGGGAAUAGAGGUGGGUCCAUGGGAGGGGCUGUAAUGAGCUUAAAUUGAGAGGGAGGGGUGGUAGUGAAGCAGGAGCAGCAAGAGCAUCCAAGGAACACUGCUGAGGACAUCUGGGUGACCAGAAGAAGAGAGUGCCUUCUGGCAGUGGGAGGGGUAAAUGUGCCUGGGGGAUGCCUCAGUAAGGCGGAGCCCAAGGCCAGUGACAUUCUCUGACCACAGUGUUCACUUGGCACCAAACCUCAGGGCCAUCUUGCUUCAUCUCCCUAGAACUCAUCAGCAACUGUGACUCCAGUUUUCUCACCAAAGCUACAGGGAGGAAACACUCAGUGAUAAUCCAAAGGCAAGGACAAUUGACUAGUUAAACAGAGAUGGCCCCAGUUUAAGACCUUUGCCCCGUUGUUACCCUGCCACCUCUUCGUUACCCUGUAUCGCAAGUCCUUACUUUCCCAGGUUUGGUGGAGAGGGAAAAGGAUUCCAAGACUGUUGUAAGCAAGCGGGGCCACUCCCAAUAAAUGAGACCAUCCCGUACCCUAGGGACUGACUCAGUUGAGUUUCACUGGUCAGAAGAAUCUGAAUUUCAGACAAAGGAGGUCUCUGUUUCUUACCUUGUAGAUAACAAUGGCUCUACUAUGAGAACAAUUCUAGGGUGAUACAAUAUUACAGAGAACCAGGACCCUAGAGAUUAUUACAUAUUCAUCCAACAACCUCGUUGACACAUGAGGGGACUUAAGAAAAUGGCAAUGGCAUCAGUGUCCAAGCCAACCAGGAAGUUGGUGAAAGAAUCUGCACUAGAACCCAGAAGUCUUGACCCAAUACCACACUAGCCCUUCUCCUAUCUUACCCACCCUGGCCCUCUUAGAUGGCAAAGGUUUCCACCCAGGGGCAACUCUGAGCAACCAAGGAAGGAAGGUCUGAAUUUGCAAAACUGCUUUGUGGAAACUACUGCUCUUUAGGAGACCUUCUUAUGUUGCAGCCAGCCCUGGGACUGUGUCCUUGCCUCCCUGCAUCCUGUAGGGAGAGAGAGAACCGAAAUUUUUGUUCUAAAAGCCCUUCCGGCCACCAAGCCUGCCCCCUCUGGCCAAACCCAGUACCUGAUUUCAUCCUAGUGGAUCUCCACCCACCAGUCUCGGUGCCUUCUCCUGGAGCAAAGGGGCUGAUACCUUAUCAGGUACAAGGUGGAAGUGGAACAUGUUGCACAGACAUCCCAUAAAUGCUCUGCAAGUGAAUAACUAAGGUUCCACAUCUCCUACACUGCAUCCAGUUCACACUUCCAAAAGCAUCCAGCAAACUUGCGUUCAACCUGUGGAUCAGAUUAGGUCAAAUAAACAGAUAUUUAUUGAGGUAUUAUUGGAAAGGCAAUGUACAGGUGCUGAGCUCUACACAAAGACAUGCCCGAGUCCCUGCCUUCAAAGGACUCAAAAGCUAACUGGGGGAGACCAGGUGAUAUUUCAUUUUAAGUUAAUAUCGCAAGGUAGUGAUACAAGAGGUGCCAUGAAGCAACAAGUAACCAUUUGCAAAAUUACUGGAAUAGAAAAUCUGUGUAUUGGUACACAGGAAAAAACACUGUGAACUGAACAGUUCAGGGAAGCUUGUAGAAAAGGAAAAACCUCAUCAGGGCUUUGAAGGAUGGGUAGAAUUCAAAGGAGUGGAGAGAAGGUUUGAAAGAGUGUUACAGAAAUUGGUAACUGAGAAAAGAUACAAAAAUAGGAAAAUGCAAGUGUGUUG